CGGAAGGCGGAAAUAAUUCAACACAUCCAAACACUACCCACACCUCUCUGUCUCUCUGUCGAACCCAUACUGUCUCUUUUGCAGCUCUGCACCGACUUUAAUCUAUAGAUCUUCAGCAUAUAUCGGGGGGAAGAGCUUCGGAGAAACCCUAGUCGAAGUUGGAGUUUGUUUUUCUUAUAGAACUGGAAGGAGAAAAAUAAAGAUGCCUUGGACUUCCUCUUCAGCGAAUUACGAAAUGAACUGCGUUCGCUUGGUGGUGUUCUUUCGUGUAAUACUGUAGCUUUAUUUCGUCCGGGUGUUUUGUGAAGGAAUUUCUUAUCUAGUAUUCCUUUUUUUAUUUUAAACUGGUGGGAGUGAGAAUGUACAUUGGAGUUACCAUAAAAAGAUAUCGAGCAGUGAAAGAAGUUGGGCAGAUUAAAAUGAGUGUCAGGGUCAUCACAUACUACCAAUUGAUACAAGCUUGCCAGGCUGAGUAUUUCCGUCAGUUGCUUAAACCUGUUACGUAGUCUUCUAUUUUCAAGUUCUGGGACACUGGGAUUUGGAUUGACUGCCUUUGAUUGGAUUCAUACUAAAGAAGGCAGUGACAGAGACGAAACAUUUGAUGAUGGCAACUGUUUGUUUGGAAAAACUGCCGGGAACGUCGACACUUUAAUCAACUAGUUAGUAUUCUCAUCACCUUAGGCACCUUCAUCCAAUUGAGGUUUGUAUAAUUGCAAGUGUAGAAGUGGGAACUCCAACAUUUCUUCAGACUUUUAAUUACGUAGGAAAUAGGAAUAUCGAUGCAGGGUGACCAGCAAUUUUUCCAUGAAACGGCUCUACCAAAUCAAGAGGGGAACAGUUAUGUGCACACUCCAGUUGCACCUGCUUUUGAUGCACUGUUGAAUUCGAGUGCUAGGUACUCGACACCUUUUCAUGGUAUCGAAUUUCAACCUUCUGAGGUUUGCCCCAAGAAUUUUAUUAUCUUUGAUCAAACAGAUCACCGGAGCCAGAUUAUGUUCCAUCCUUGGAUUUCCAACAAAUGUAGUGCUCCUGGCACCGGUGCAACCUGCAUUGAAGUGAAAGAAGUUGAUCGCAUGGAAAGAGAAAUAUCAUUGCCACUGAAAGAGGAUUCAGAUGAUAUUGAUGCAUUGUUGAGUUUAGAAGAGGAUGGACAAGAAUAUGAUGAUGAAGAGGUUAGCACAGCCCGAACUAGUGGAGAUCAUAGAAGCUCGUCCCCAGAUUCUUUCUCCAGCUAUUGUUCAAAACCAAAGAAGAGUAGAUUUUCUUCUUCUAUUCAGAAGUCCUCGAGCAGCAGUGACAGCUGCAACAAUGAAAGGAAACGGCAGAAAAUGAAGAAGAUGGUGAGGGCAUUGAGAGGGAUAGUACCUGGUGGCAAUCAAAUGAAUACUGCUGCUGUGCUAGCUGAAGCCGUUAGGUACCUCAAGUCUCUCAAGGUUGAAGUACAGAAGCUUGGAGUUGGGGAUUCAAAUGAUGUCUAAAGUUUAAAAGCCGUGGUAAGGAUGACUGAACCCUCUCAUUCUUGUUCUCUCUCAAUUGCAACAAGAUGGCAUUAGGGGAAUAAUAAUUGCCAUUGUCAGAGACUCACUGUUGUGUAACAAAACCAAUUUAUACUUGUAUUAAUGGAGUCUGCUCCACAAACAGUGACUUGCGUGUUUGAACUGUUAGUUUCUACUAUGACCUCUGCUUUAUAGUAAUUGGAGGGACAGCCACCACUUCGAUCUA